rnacentral:lncRNA from 10 species
AGAUGGCAGCCCGCGUCCCUGUGUGAAGCCGUCUGCAGCAGCUGCCAGAGCCCUGCUUGCUGUUUCCUUUCUCACCACCCACCUCACCCGGAAAUCCCCUGGUGAUUUCAAGACCUGACCUCUGCACCCUUUUGCUCCCCACCUGUCCCAAAAAAGUGGAGCUAUAACUGUGGGAAAAGGGGAUCUGAAGUCAGACACAGGAUCCACAGUAGCCUGGGGACCUUUCUCACCCCCGCCCUUAAGCAGGCCCCAACAUAACCGGCUGAGAAACCUCCUCUGCCAGAUCCUGACCUGAGCCAGGAGGCGGCCAGGAAACUGGAUUUUGGGACUGGGAUUUCAGAGAGGAAGCUGGAGAGCUGCAGGGCGCAGCUGGCUGGGCUCCUGCUUCCCACUCUCCACCUCAUCCAUAUUUGUCCUCGUCCCUGCCAGUCUCGAAAAGGCACUCUGUCACGUGUACACAGGAAAGGGCCCUGACAAGAGGAUGGGACUGCAGUUGUGGCUGCCAGAGUCUUGCUUUGUCGCCCAGGUUGGAGUGCAGUGGCACGAUCUCGGCUCAGUGCAACCUCCGCCUCCUGAGUUCAAGUGAUUCUCCUGCCUCAGCCUCCCUAGUAGCUGGGAUUACAGGACAAGGAGAGGGACAAAUUCCUUCUUGGCAUCCUUAUGGCCCUGUGACCUGCUAAUGAAUGCUGACUCUGAGUUGCUACUAGAAUUUGGUUUCCUUGUGGCUUCCCAGGAAUUGUGAGCCAUGUUGGAUAAGGACCUGCAAGGGAAGAAUGAGGAAGCCUGGGACAGUGCAGGAGGGGAGAGCACUGGUGGUAGAGAGGAGUGAUGACAAGGGUCUCCGCCAAAAGGGAAAUGGAGGGGUUAAAGAAGCUGCUGGGGAGGGUUAAAAACAAUGUGUUCUCACUCGUAGGUGGGAAUUGAACAAUGAGAACACUUGGACACAGGAAGGGGAACAUCACACACUGGGGCCUGUCGUGGGGUGUGGGGAGGGAGGAGGGAUAGCAUUAGGAGAUAUACCUAAUGUAAAUGAUGAGUUAAUGGGUGCAGCACACCAACAUGGCACAUGUAUACCUAUGUAACAAACCUGCACAUUGUGUACAUGUACCCUAGAACUUAAAGUAUAAUUAAAAAACAAAACAAAACAAAACAAAAACAAUGAGGUGCUAUUGUUUUAGUGGUGAGUAUCCGGAGACCUGGGAGUUCUAUUUACCAGGUAUAACCUGGGCUCAAAAUUCCAGGCUGACUUCAGGCAUGUCCUCAUCUCAUAGAUGCCAGCACUAAGGCCCAGAGAGGGCCGAGCUCAUUCAGCCCACCCAUCUUCUCACCCCUGACUGCAUUUCCCGGGGGUCCUUCUGCAGCCAGGUGCUGCUGUGGUACUUUGGGAUCUAUUGGCUGAGCUCCCAGAGAAGGGUCAUGGAUUGGGCUAGUUUGGAACAAGUGAAGGGACUGAAGAUGGGCUCAGUAUGGGGCGAAGACCUUCAGGAAGGGUCUGCAGAGUGAGUAGGGGGGUUUUGACUAGGAAAAGUUCCAACCCUGCCGGGGCCGCUGUCAAGAGAAAAGCAUCUAUUACAGUUACAUUUUUAAGUUAAGUAGACUGAAGAAUAUUUCUUGUGUAUUAAAGACGUUCCUUUUUGGUUGAUUUGCAAUGGAAAAGCUUUUGUUUUCUUUUUUUUUUUGGAAACAGGGUCUCACUCUGCUCACUCUGUCUCCCAAGCUGGAGUGCAGUGGUACAGUCACGGCUCACUGCAGCCUCCACUUCCUGGACUCAAGUGAUCUUCUCACUUCAGCCUUCUGAGUAGCUGGGACUACAGCCCCCUCUGCAGCUCUUCAUGGGGGUCCACUCAAGUCAGAAGCCACAUUUGGGUGUGAUUCAGAGAGCUGUUUAUGCAAAACCAGCUUUGUCACCAUCAGGCAAGGCACCUGAAUUCCCACCGCAGAGAGUGUUGUGGCCGUGAGGACUUUUCUGUCACCAGCCAUUUCCAGGUAGACCCAGUGUAAUCACAAGCAUCCUUGUAAGUGGCAAAGAGGCAGAGGAGACAGCGCCAGAGAGGCAGCUGCAUGAGAAGGAUCAAGAUGUUGCUGACUUUGAAGUUGGAAGAAGAAGGCCAUGAGCCUCAGUAUGUGGGCGGCUUCUAGAAGCUGGAAGGGGCAAGGAGAUGGAUUUGACCCUUCAGCCUCCAGGGGCAGCUGUACCUGCCAUCACUGAUUGUAGCCUGGUGAGGCCUGUUUUAGACUUCUGACCUGUAGAGCUGUAACAUAAUACAUUUGGGUUGUUUUCAACCACUAAGUUUGUGGUAAUUUGUUGUAGCAGCUGUAGAAAAUGAAUACAUAUGAAUCCUCUGGCAUUUGUUUGAGAUUUGCUCUAUGGCCUAGUAUGUGGUUGUAAAUGUUCCAUCUGUGCCUGAAAAAAUGUAUAUUUCUAAUUCAGUAGUCUCUGCUUUUUUUUUUUAUUUUGUACCCCAUCAAUAAAAUGAUUUUCAGCAUGUAUCCCCAAAUAAACAAUAUUUUAUUUAUUGAUUGAUUGAUAAACAGACAUGUUUAAUGAUAGCUUGCUUUUCACAGAGGUGACUUCGGAGACUUCUAAUCUAUAAUCCAGGAGUAUAUAACCAUG